GACGAAGGAUGCAAGCGUUAUCCGGAUUCAUUGGGUUUAAAGGGAGCGUAGGUGGCCUUAUAAGUCAGUGGUGAAAUCUCUGGGCUUAACCCAGAAAUUGCCAUUGAUACUGGAGGACUUGAGUGUAGUUGCCGUUGGCGGAAUAUGACAUGUAGUGGUGAAAUACAUAGAGAUGUCAUAGAACACCGAUUGCGAAGGCAGCUAACGAAACUAUAACUGACACUGAGGCUCGAAAGUGCGGGGAUCAAACAGG
rnacentral:rRNA from 1 species